GGGGGCGUUCUGGAUUCGACGCGGGUUACAAAACCUCCGGUGCAUGCCGAGAUGGUGACCAAUCUCGUUAAUCCAAAGUCGCAAAUUUAUAGUUGCCAACGACGACAACUACGCACUCGCUGCUUAAACCCCAGUAGGGUGCCGUCUGACUGGAGCCGUGCUUAUGCGUCCAGCGUCUCUCGAGACAAUCAGGCGUCAUAUCUCAUAAGAUCGUAGCAAAGCUUGUUCGGGGCGGCGUUAUUAAACACUUACCGAAAUCGUUUGUUGUGCGCCCUGACAGUCGGGUUGCAGCAGGCUAAAUUUAAAGACUGAUCUAAGCAUGUAGAGCCGUAGGCAGAGGACUGGCGGACGCGGGUUCAAUUCCCGCCGCCUCCACCA
rnacentral:tmRNA from 1 species